AGCCAUGCCGCGUGUGUGAAGAAGGCCUUUUGGUUGUAAAGCACUUUAAGCAGUGAAGAAGACCUAACGGUUAAUACCCGUUAGCGAUGACAUUAGCUGCAGAAUAAGCACCGGCUAACUCUGUGCCAGCAGCCGCGGUAAUACAGAGGGUGCAAGCGUUAAUCGGAAUUACUGGGCGUAAAGCGAGCGUAGGUGGCUUGAUAAGUCAGAUGUGAAAUCCCCGGGCUUAACCUGGGAACUGCAUCUGAUACUGUUAGGCUAGAAUAGGUGAGAGGAAGGUAGAAUUCCAGGUGUAGCGGUGAAAUGCGUAGAGAUCUGGAGGAAUACCGAUGGCGAAGGCAGCCUUCUGGCAUCAUAUUGACACUGAGGUUCGAAAGCGUGGGUAGCAAACAGGAUUAGAUACCCUGGUAGUCCACGCCGUAAACGAUGUCUACUAGUCGUUGGGUCCCUUGAGGACUUAGUGACGCAGCUAACGCAAUAAGUAGACCGCCUGGGGAGUACGGCCGCAAGGUUAAAACUCAAAUGAAUUGACGGGGGCCCGCACAAGCGGUGGAGCAUGUGGUUUAAUUCGAUGCAACGCGAAGAACCUUACCUGGUCUUGACAUAUCUAGAAUCCUGCAGAGAUGCGGGAGUGCCUUCGGGAAUUAGAAUACAGGUGCUGCAUGGCUGUCGUCAGCUCGUGUCGUGAGAUGUUGGGUUAAGUCCCGCAACGAGCGCAACCCUUGUCCUUAGUUACCAGCGGGUUAAGCCGGGAACUCUAAGGAUACUGCCAGUGACAAACUGGAGGAAGGCGGGGACGACGUCAAGUCAUCAUGGCCCUUACGACCAGG
rnacentral:rRNA from 1 species